rnacentral:rRNA from 1 species
GACUAAACUGUCUCUUAUGGGCAUUCAAUGAAACUGAUCUCUCAGUCCAAAAGCUGAAAUAGCUACACUAGACGAGAAGACCCUGUGGAGCUUCCAAACCGAUACUAACACUCAUAGUCAUGCGGUUUUUAGUUGGGGCGACUUCGGAGAACAAAAAAACCUCCAACUAGGAAAUAUUCCUGAUUAAGAUCAACACAUCUAAAUAUUAAACUUGACCCAGUAGGCAUUACCCCCAUCUGAUCAAGGAACCAAGUUACCCCAGGGAUAACAGCGCUAUCCUCUUUUAGAGUCCCUAUCGACAAGAGGG